GGUUCAAGAGAGAAUAGCUAUUAGUCAUGUAAAACGGUUAUGGUUUGACGUUUUCAUGAUCUAAUAAUACUCAAAUCAUUUGAGUUUACUACUACAUUGUAUAAAAAUAAGAACAGUUAAAAUUCCUUCUCUCUACACCUAGAAUGAAGUAGAAAGAACAUUAGGGCUUGAACAUUUGGGAUAUAAGGAUGAGGUCAAAAGCGGGAGAGCACAGAGUACAGAGAAUCUACCUGGAGAUAUUCUACCAACAGUUUAGCAGCAGAGAAAAGGGAAAUUUCCAUGAAAGUAUUUUGAAAUAUAAAUGCUUGCACUGAGAAAUUUUUAUCUGUGUCAUACCAAAAAUUAGCAAAUCUUGAUUGCAAUUUUUUUCCUAUAAAAGGAGAGUGGAGUCAUAAAUGAUCUGGUUACAUUAGUCUAAUUUUUCUUAUCCACAUUAUUUUUUCCCCCAAAUGAUAACACAUUCAGAAACCCUAAGAUUGAGGUCUUUUAAGUAAGACAGCAUGGUAUAGUACACUAUAUUCACAUGGUAUAAUACUGUUUUGUAGAAAUGUUCAAGGGCUUGGUUUUUAGUUUUUGUUGUGUUUUGCUUUGUUUCUUAACAUCUUGCAUUACAUUAAAGUGCUGAAAAGACUGACCCAUUUUAUCAUUCUUCUGGUGAACUAGAGCUAGAUGGAGAACCAAGACAUACAACAUACCGCUCAAGAUCAGAUCUGGAUUCUCCUAGGUGCCUUUUACCGUUUCAAAAUAGGUAAGAAUUAAAUGUAUUAAUAUUUAACAGAGAAAGAUGGACACUGAUAGGACUCUGGCAGAUGGACAUGUUUAGUUGUAAUUUGUUUAACCUAUGGCCCAGAAUCAAAGCUAGUUUUUAAAUUUGUAAAUGGUUUCUAAGGUUAAAGGAAACAGAGCUGAUCAAAUGUUGCUUACUAUAUGCAAGAGUUAGACAUUGGAAAAAGUGUUGAUUAAAAUUGAUAAGUCCCUGGCUGUUAGAGAAAAUGUUAGUCUGCAUGACAGAUGCAUUUUUACAUAUCCAACACUUACUGACAAACUGACAGGUUUUAUACUUGGCAUUUUCAUGAAGCCCUAGCUUCUUUGAAUUUAUUGAAGACCAAUUUCUUUCCCAUCCCAAACUUAGAAGCAUGGGGCAUAUAGAUCAUAUAAUAUGUACGUGGCCUGCCUUUCGGGGGUGGGGGAGGAGGCAGGUGUGUAAUGUGAUUGCAUUGUUUCUGGGUAAUUUGGUUCAUGUACAUUGCUUUUAAUCCUUAGGUCCCCAGGCACCCUAGCUGAUUUAAAUCCUGGUUCCACAGCGUGCUCUCACCUUCAGAAUUAUGAUCCUGAUAGAGCCCUGGCAGAUUAUAUCACUCGGCUAGAGGCACUACAAAGAAGACUUGGAACUGUACAGACAGGUGCUUAAGUUUAACCACUUAUUGGUAGUGCCAUAGUGCUAGACCCACAGCUCUCCUCAUUUUGAAAGCUUAAACUGUGUAACCAGCAGCACAACUAACUUUAGAGUAUUCAAGACAUGAUUUAUCACCUCAAAUCCUGCCCACCCCCAAAUAAUUCCCCUACUAUCUCUUCAUUCAGUAGAUUGCUCAUAGAAAACACAUGAUUGAAGACUAAUGUGGGAAGGUGCUCUGAGGUAAUGCAUGGUAGAAAGUGGUGAGGCCUACAGAUACUGGUGAGGAAGAGGAUUGAGCACUUAGUACAACCAUUAUCCCUACUACUGCAUGGUGCUUUUAAGAGUGAUCCAAAAAAAAAUCCUAACAAUGAUCUUUUACUUUUCUUUCCUCAAAAAUAUCAAUAUCAUACUUGAUAACAGAAGUGGAUUCUCUAUUCAUUAUGAGAAAACUUCUUUUCCCUGUCUUCCUUUAGUUCACUUCUGAUCCAGAGAUUUUGAAUCAUUUUAGUUUAACUGAUUGUAUUCAGUCUACUUUUACAGUUUUUUUUUAAACUUUUAUUAAUGAUUCUCUUUUCCUACUAGUCCCACAAACUGGACUAAUAUCAGAUUAUUUUGAGUUAGUAGUUAUCUCUUCAUUCAUUCAAAAAAUUCACUGUUUAACACAAGCAACUUGUAGUACUAGGAAACUCUCAUUAUUAUAGUUGAAGUCUGUUUGUUGGUUAAAGGUUUGUUUUGUUUUAAGCAUCCAAAUUUCACAAGACCCAGAAUCUGAAGACCAAAAUAUUUUUUAGGAUAUACUAAAAAUAUAUAGAACUUCAACCUUUAGAACAUUUUAUAUUAGCAUGAGUCUCGCUUCCUUGCUUUAGAACCACUCUUGAUGACUUGUAAAUAUAGUUGAAAUCUCUUUAAAAAUCAGUUGAACUAUGAAUAAGAUGUUUAAGGAACAAAGGGCAUUUUUUGUGAUGGAGAGUUAAGAGUAAUCUUUUUGUUAUCUAUACCAGCUAAUUUAUAUAGAACAAUCUAAUUUAAAAUCAUGCAAAAUGUCUUGUUUUUCUCUUACAGGUUCAACUACUACAUUUCAUAGUGGUAUGAGAAGAUAAUACUUUAAAAACAUCAAAAGUUGAAGUGAUUUUAAACAAAUUCUCUUUUGUAAAUCGAAGAUUCUUUUGUGCUUUUAUAUUGUGAAUAUUUAAUGGGACCAAAACAAACACAGCUUAUGAUUGUAUCAGAUCUCUUGCACAUGAAAACAAACUGGAAUUUGUACAUACAAGCAUUGUGUAUGUAUUCAUGCACAGUGAUCACUAAAUUACAUGUAUAUUUGCAGAAUGUUAAUUUAAAUGAUUAAAUUAUAAACCUUGUGUAUUUAUCAAAUGGGUGAAAAGAUUAAACUUUUGCCAAUAUGAUACUGCUGAAUGUGUAGCUUGCAGUGUCCUGCACUUUCCAUUUAAGGCUACUGAAAUUACAUGUUUCUGCCUAAUAUAUUUGCUACUGGUGAUGAAGACAGAAGAUAUCACUUGUAGACACCUAUUUUUGUAUAAUGGUAGAAGUUUUGAAUUUUAUGGGGUAUUUUGUCAAAGCACUGAAAAUAAAAAUGACUUCACCAUUUUCACCACACUGUAUUUGAAACUUCUUCA
rnacentral:lncRNA from 1 species